UGGAGCUCAAUUAAUUAAUUCCCGAAUAAUUUACUAAGUUUCCGAAGAUGAAAAAUAUUGAAGUUGGAGAAGCGAGGGCCGACUGGCGUCGCGGGCCUUAAGAAAAUUCAAAGAAAGGAAUUAGAAGGGAUUCUCCUAGAAUCCAUAUUUUAUUAGAUAAGUGUCUGAGUUUUGUUUUCGAGAAAAUAGAAUUACUCCGAACUUAGUAAAGUGAAUAAAUAAAUUGUGUAGAGUAGUGAAGCCGAGAUAGGAUUAAGAAAAAUCCUAUAAGCCGAGACUAAGAUAUAGGUGCUACCCAGUAGGAAGCAUGCAUUCUUUUCUCCAAAGAAAUAGUUCAAGUACUAAUUAGCAUGUUACGUUGUUUUUGUUAAAAAGGCUAUUUUUGGCUGGGAGGUCGACAGGAGAAUUUUAAUUGAGGAGUAAACGUAUCAGGUGGGCUUUCUUUUAAUAUCCAGCACUAUAGUGUGGAUACAAAGCAAAUGUUUUGAAGUUAUGAAAUACCUUUUUCUCAAAAAUGAAUAUGUGAUCAUUUCUUUUAAAGUUGUUGUCAUGCCAUAAAGUGUUUGUUUUCGAGACCUGCCUGUUGGAGAUAUUUGUCUGUUGGAGAUAAUUGUUUGUUGGUUUUGGCUACGCCAAAACGUUAUGAUUCGGAUUGGGGUGCACAAGAGUCGUGAGCCAUCUAGAGGUUGGCCGGCGAGGGUACUGUUGAAGGUGGCCACCUUCACGGUACACUAGAUUAUCAGACAUGACGGGAUUUCACCAAGAACUUAGACUGCAGUCGGACUUCUAAGAUCACAAAAGAAUUUAGUAUGCUCGAGCCUUUUUAAGAAAACCCUCGUGUGAUACUGUUGAUGGGUGACAACUUAUAUAUUGAUUAAACAAUAGGGCGGAGGCGUGUUGAUCAGAGUCGAUGCUACUUAAGUAAAUAAGGUGGAUCUCUCGACGCUUCGUGUCUUCAUACGCGAGGUUGUUCUUUGGACCUUUCCGCUGCAGUUUGUUAAGAGAGUAUAGUGAACACUCACCAUCGAAACUCUGAUUCAUUUUGAUGAAAUGCCAUUGUUAUUCAAAUCCUUGUAAUCGAAUACUUGGAUCUUAUCUAUCAUAUUGUUUAACUUUUCAA